AUUGAACGCUGGCGGCAGGCCUAACACAUGCAAGUCGAGCGGAUGAGGGGUGCUUGCACCCUGAUUCAGCGGCGGACGGGUGAGUAAUGCCUAGGAAUCUGCCCGAUAGUGGGGGACAACGUUUCGAAAGGAACGCUAAUACCGCAUACGUCCUACGGGAGAAAGUGGGGGCUCUUCGGACCUCACGCUAUCGGAUGAGCCUAGGUCGGAUUAGCUAGUUGGUGGGGUAAAGGCUCACCAAGGCGACGAUCCGUAACUGGUCUGAGAGGAUGAUCAGUCACACUGGAACUGAGACACGGUCCAGACUCCUACGGGAGGCAGCAGUGGGGAAUAUUGGACAAUGGGCGAAAGCCUGAUCCAGCCAUGCCGCGUGUGUGAAGAAGGUCUUCGGAUUGUAAAGCACUUUAAGUUGGGAGGAAGGGCUGCAGGUUAAUACCUUGCAGCCUUGACGUUACCGACAGAAUAAGCACCGGCUAACUUCGUGCCAGCCGCCGCGGUAAAAC
rnacentral:rRNA from 1 species